AGCUAUCUUACAAUUCCCUUCAAUCCCUAAGCUAAAUUUGGCUCGUAAUAGCUCCAACAGCCGUUUAUUGAUCCAGCGAGCAGAUUGACAGCGCAGUAUGGUGUUAGUACAUGUUCACUUUAGAGACUUUUUCGCUAGACCUACGUUCUUGCAUAUGCGGGUGAAAAGACCAGUCCCACCUCUUGUCCAUAACAGUAACGUGCUAGAAUUGGACGCCGGGGGCACUCCUAUUCUGGUUGUUAUCACAGCGUCACCCCAAGGAUGAGUCCUGACAGUUUUCUCCAUUGCCGAAAAUCAUGUGUGCGAUAUGCAAGCCAAAGAGUGCGAGAAGAGUCCCUAAAAUGUCACGGCAACUGGAAAGGCGACUGUUGAGGCAAUUGGUCUUCAGCGCAGCACGCGAUAACUGUUGUACAGCGAAGCAGUGGCAGAGCCUACAAAUGAUGCGCAAGAGCUGCUGCGUUUAUAGGCAGGCGGGAAGGCAAGGGGAAAGAAUUAGCGGGAGUCCAAAUGCGGGUGUCGCUGUUGUCGGGGUUUGGCGCAAACGAGGCAAUUCUCCCAAGGAAGACAUUGCAAAAGCCACGACACACGAUGCACAACACACCUGGGGCAGUGGUUGCCUUCCCAGCAGUUUGUUGCCAGGUGGAAGUGGGCAAAAAUGACAGCCGGGGCCAAAGGCAAGGGUGCAACGGCUUACCUCCUGGAACAAGUACAUCGCAAAAUCUGUUUUUUUCUGGCCAUCCUCGACUGAGGUAAAGCUGCUUUCUUGUUUCGGUAGGUGUUGUGGUCAUUACACUCGCCGUUACUGCUGUAAGAGACUUCGAAAUGAGCAAAGACAUGGCUUUCAUCAAUGGAUUAACUUCAUUGCGGAUUCCUCCCAAGAACGCCUCUAACGAAGGGGUAGACCGUCUCUAAGCUUGGCCACGGAAUGCUGCUGGACGAUUUGCAUUGUGCAGUGCGCAAAGUCUAACAGGAGACAAGAGCAUCUGCCAUUAACAAACAGACGCACUUCAAGGGGUGGUCAUGUCCAAAAGCGGCAUGUUAUACCGUACGAACGCCGCCAUGCUUGGAAUGCAACAGUCUCGUCAGUAGCCUUGCUCGAAAA
rnacentral:lncRNA from 1 species